GCCCGGAGAGCUGCAGGCACAAAGGAGAGGACGCAGGACCAUUAAGAUCAACAGGAUCGAGAAAACUUCCCUUACAAACAGCAAAGCAGACCCCUAUUUCUUAAAGUCAUAGACUGUGGCCCCAGUGGCUGGAUUGUGCUGUUGAGGAUCCUACUGGCUCUCACAGAGAAGAUGGCUGGAACACGCAGCUGGAGCCGGAGCCUCUCCUUUGAAGAUGCCUGCAAAUUAAUAUUUCAAAAUGUCAUCAACCCUAAAAUAAAAUAUUG